GACGAACGCUGGCGGCGCGCCUAACACAUGCAAGUCGAACGAAGAACUUUAACUGAAACUUUUCGGAGCGGAAGAUAAAGUUACUUAGUGGCGAACGGGUGAGUAACACGUGAGCAACCUGCCUUCAGGAGGGGGAUAAUGUCUGGAAACGGACACUAAUACCGCAUAAAUCGUCUAAGCCGCAUGGCUAAGGACGGCAAAGGAGUAAUCCGCUUGAAGAUGGGCUCGCGUCUGAUUAGAUAGUUGGUGAGGUAACGGCUCACCAAGUCAACGAUCAGUAGCCGGACUGAGAGGUCGAUCGGCCACAUUGGGACUGAGACACGGCCCAGACUCCUACGGGAGGCAGCAGUGAGGAAUAUUGGACAAUGGAUGGAAAUCUGAUCCAGCCAUGCCGCGUGCAGGAAGACGGCCCUAUGGGUUGUAAACUGCUUUUAUAUGGGAGCAAUAAGGUUUACGCGUAGACCGAUGAGAGUACCAUAUGAAUAAGC
rnacentral:rRNA from 1 species